CCUACGGGUGGCAGCAGUGAGGAAUAUUGGUCAAUGGGCGCGAGCCUGAACCAGCCAAGUCGCGUGAGGGAGGACGGCCCUACGGGUUGUAAACCUCUUUUGCCGGGGAGCAACGGGCGUCACGUGUGGCGCCACUGAGAGUACCCGGAGAAAAAGCAUGGGUAAACUCCGUGCCAGCAGCGCCGGUAAUACGGGGGACGCGAGGGUUAUCCGGUUUUUUUGGGUUUAAAGGGUUCGUAGGCGGAUCGUUAAGUCGGUGGUAAAAUUGGGGGGUUCAACCCCUUCCCGCCAUUGAAACUGGCGCUCUUGAGUAGAAGAGAAGUAUGCGGAAUGCGUGGUGUAGCGGUGAAAUGCAUAGAUAUCACGCAGAACCCCGAUUGCGAAGGCAGCAUGCCGGCUUCCGACUGACGCUGAAGCACGAAAGCGUGGGGAUCGAACAGGAUUAGAUACCCCUGUAGUC
rnacentral:rRNA from 1 species